rnacentral:misc_RNA from 1 species
GUGUGUGUGUGUGUGUGUGCAAAUGAUGGAUAUGCAUGCCAGGGUACUGUAAACUGGUUACAAAGUUUAUUUACUCUGGAUGCACUAUUCUAUUUUUGAUGCCAUUAUGAGUUGGGCCAUCCUUGCAUGUUAUUAACAUCCUCAUAGGCUUUUGAUAUUGAUUGCAUAUAGUUAAUAAGAAUUAUUAAAAUUUGAGAUUAUUAAAAGGCGCACAUCCUUUGAAGUUAUUGCAAUGAUUUACCGUCCUGCACAAUCUGUGGUAAUUUUUUCCCCCAAAUUAUUUAUGUUUUUCUGAUGAGAGAAAGUACAUGCAAUUUAAUUGGUUUAUCUUACAGG